AUCUACGCUACUUAUUAUUACCCAUGAGCAUCCUAAGCAAUUUCCUAAACAAUAUAUAGAACAUGGAUGAUUAAAUAAUUAAGAAUUGUGCAGGCCAUAAAACCUAAAGCCCAAAACUCAUUCCUUCUAUCAAACCGCCCAUAACCCUAUAUGCGAAGCCCAUAACGAAAGUGAUGGUAGAAACCAAAUCAACAGCCGCUCCACCUUCAUGGUUCCCCAGUGGCGGCCAGUUGUACUAGGGAUAUGUAGACCUUGGGAACAUUCACUAGACAAUGUCAUUUACAAUCACUAAAGAUAAAAACCUGCUACUAUUAUUAUAACCAGCAACAUAACUAAAACGUGUGAUCUUUUUCAUUUCACCCUUAUUCGGAAAUGGAUAGUCCUUAUAUAGAGCUCUGGAUUACCAAGUCUCUCACCUGUGAGCUGGCCAAAAUCCAAGAUUUUUCCGUUGGAAUAAAAAUCUCAUCUAGAUUUGGUGUGGUCCCUAAUUUGAUGCAGGUGGCAAGGCGAGUUUGUUGGUAGUGAAAUCACUCCAUGAUGCAUGGCCAUUUUCUUGAGUUUCUCUGGGAUUAUUACUGCUGUAAGACAGGUGUUCUUCUGAUUUUUGCUGACGUGAGGACUAUGAGGAAAACUAUUUGAUUUGGAUUGUGGUGAUAUUUGUUAGCUAUCAUUCUUUCAGCUUUCCCCUUCUUGGCUUGCCUUUCAUACAAGCAUUUUGUUUUGAUUUUUCCUUUCUUUGUGGUCACGUUGUGCCUGUGAUCUGUUGAUUGCAGGAGUACGUUAGGUGCAUACUACACAUCCGGUAAGCGACGAGUUUUUGAUGUAUUGCCUUAGUCAAAGCGGUUUGUGCUUUGGCUAGAUUUUGGUCUUGCAUUAUUUGUACAUCGGUUCUUUGGUAUUAUGGAACUGAAUAAUGUGUUGGUUUGUAUGAUCCUGGUGUAUGCGCAUUCAAUUCAUAUUGGUGGUUUGGGAACAAAUUUUGGUCGUGUAAUGUUUUGCUGUAAAUGCUAUGUUCUUCUACUGCGUUUUCAGGGUUUUGCAGAUCAUUGCAGCUUAUGCAGCUUGGAUUUCGUCAUGUCUGGUUUUGGUAGCUGGCUUUGCAAAGGAUUGACAGCAACAUACACUUCAAUUGCCUUCAUUUCCCCUUUUGACGUGCAGCAGGUAUGAUACUGAUUUAGAUGCCAUGGUUUGCUGCUGAUUCAUGUUUUGGUUGUUUCAGUCAUCGUGGUUUUGGUCACAGCUUUGGAGCUUUGGGGAGUCAUGUGGGGAUACGGUUGAACUCAAAUGCCUUUAUCUUCGAGUUGCAUUGGAUAUGGUUUAGCCUUAUAACAUUUUGCUGCUAAGGUAGCUCGUGGGCUUCACUUCAGGCUUCUAGGUUGCUUAAGAUUUGUACUGACUUGUGUGACUCGUGCUGGCACAAUACUACUUGAGGCCUCUUUUCAACCAAACUUUCUGUCUUUAGGAAAUAACUGUACCAUCAAGUCGAAGGAAAUGACAAGGAAAUGAUGGUGUCGCAGGUGAAACAAAUAUUUGUUGAGAUGAACUUUGUGAUUGACCUUGGGUGUGGUUUUGUAUGUGUUGUCAUGAUGCUUAGGACGUGGGCUUUACGGUGUGGAAGGCCAUGGCAUGCUGCAGGUUUAAUGCAUCUGUCUUGGAUGGUAAUGUAGGCUGGACUGUGCUUAUCCGGACAUGGAAUGUUGCUUGUUAGAUUUUUUUGGAAGCCUAUUUCUUUAAUUUGGCUUGACUCUAAUGUAACUUAGAUCAUAGGAUUGUUUGUAAUCGACGCCAUGAUGUGUUUCCAAUAAUGACACUUGAAACAAAUAUGUUCGUUACACCCUGAAUUUUGAAAUCCAAACCGAUGUGAUUCCAAACAGAUACUCUUAACCCAUACAAUGUUGUAUUCUGAAAUCCAUGGAAAGAGCGGCCUGCUCCUUAUUUGUUCACUCUGGCCGCACUUUGGCAACUUUCUUGUAGAUUAUGUACUCAUGGAAAUAGACAAAAGUGACCACAUUUUGUAAUGGUUUUUAUGUAUGCUGUAUUUGUAAAUGAAAGGAUGAUUUGGUAA